CUUCAGAAAUCAGGUCGGGUCGAAUACCGGGUGUUGUCGCUCUUCAUAAAAGCGAACCCUUCCGCGUAAUCCAACUAGUCGUCACCGUCGUCGAGACGGCGGCGAGUGACUAGCGGCUCAGCGUCGCGUCCCGUUUCAGCAUGCCCCCUCCCACGGAGGUUCGACGCCUUCACCCACGACGCCGAGUCGUUAGUCACUCGCCGCCGCAGGGACGACGGCGACGACUCGUUCGAUUACGUGGAAAGGUUGGCUUUUAUAGAACAACCCGAUAUUCGACGAUACCCGACUUCCUGAAGAAGCUGGAUCAGUACUCUUAAG
rnacentral:lncRNA from 1 species